rnacentral:lncRNA from 1 species
UGGUAAUUAACCGAGGAAAGAAAUAGCUACAACAUUCUUUAUUAUGUCGAUGUGAAAAAUUUGAAUGAAGGUUUGUUGUAAAAUAUAGAAGUUGUGUCAAAGCUGUCAUUGUCCAGUCUGAGUUGCGACUACUUGAAUCUAUCACAUCUUCGUCAUCGGCUCUAUAUUAAUAUGUAAGUAUUAUUAACAGAAAUAACGUCUACAUUGAAUAGGUCGUGUCCUCUUUCUUCUACAUCUGUUUGUUUUGAUGUGUUCAAAGAUUAUGGAAAGAAAGUGAAGAAAAAUAGAAACCUUCCUAAAAUAACGAUGUUGCCUUUGGCAGAAACGUUAGCACGCCGGGCGAAAUGCGUAGCCGUAUUUCGUCUGCCGUUACGUUGUGAGUUCAAAUUCCGCCGAGGUCGACUUUGCCUUUCAUCCUUUCGGGGUCGAUAAAUUAAGUACCAGUUCCGCACUGGGGUUGAUGUAAUCAAUUUAAUACCUAUGUCUGUCUUUGUUUGUCCCCUCUAUGUUUAGCCCCUUGUGGGUAAUAAAGAAAUAGGUACGUGUAUAUGAAAUGGAUGUGUGUGUGAAAGAGAGUGAGUGAAGGGGUGUGUUGUCAUGUAUACAUACAUACAUCAUUACAUAUGCAUACAUCCUUUUUGUGUGCAUGUGUGUGUGUUUGAGAGAGAGUGCGUGUAAGUGAGUGAACGUGUGUAUUGUCAUGUAUGUGUAAGAGGUACACUCUCUCUUUCUCCCCCCCUCUCUCUCUCUUUCACACACACACACACAUGUGUAUGGAGUAUGUAUAUAAAGCUUUUAGUCUUGAAAAUGGAUGCAUGUAUUAGAUGGGUUCCAAUGUCCAGGAAGAAGUUUAUAACUACAGUUUAUCAAUAUUAGAAGAAAUGUAAUAAGAUGUCCAGUGUUGAAUGUCUUUGGUUUAAGUAUCCUCUGCAUUUUAUAUUUUGUUCUCUUUUCUUUCAGAAUAUCAAAUGAUAUUGGCGUAAAAGAAUAUUAUUUACCUGAGAUCCAUCAAUAUUUAUCAUCCUUUCAAGACAAAUGGAAGAUGUCAUACAGAACAAAUGUAACCAUUCGUUAUAUAAAUCUGUGGUAGAAUUACUGUGAAAUAUUGACUCCGAGCUGAGAUUAUUUGCAAAAUAGCCAUACAAGAUGAUUUUGCCUUCUAAAUAAAUUUGGACAAAAAUGGAGUUUGUGUACAUUCAAAUCUCAACAAAGACGAUGGAAGGAAAUG